UGACCGCUGGCGGCGUGCCUACUACAUGCAAGUCGAGCGAACAGACGAGGAGCUUGCUCCUCUGACGUUAGCGGCGGACGGGUGAGUAACACGUGGAUAACCUACCUAUAAGACUGGGAUAACUUCGGGAAACCGGAGCUAAUACCGGAUAAUAUAUUGAACCGCAUGGUUCAAUAGUGAAAGACGGUUUUGCUGUCACUUAUAGAUGGAUCCGCGCCGCAUUAGCUAGUUGGUAAGGUAACGGCUUACCAAGGCAACGAUGCGUAGCCGACCUGAGAGGGUGAUCGUCCACACUGGAACUGAGACACGGUCCAGACUCCUACGGGAGGCAGCAGUAGGGAAUCUUCCGCAAUGGGCGAAAGCCUGACGGAGCAACGCCGCGUGAGUGAUGAAGGUCUUCGGAUCGUAAAACUCUGUUAUUAGGGAAGAACAAAUGUGUAAGUAACUAUGCACGUCUUGACGGUACCUAAUCAGAAAGCCACGGCUAACUACGUG
rnacentral:rRNA from 1 species